UACGUAGGUGGCAAGCGUUGUCCGGAAUUAUUGGGCGUAAAGCGCGCGCAGGUGGUUCUUUAAGUCUGAUGUGAAAGCCCACGGCUCAACCGUGGAGGGUCAUUGGAAACUGGGGAACUUGAGUGCAGAAGAGGAAAGUGGAAUUCCACGUGUAGCGGUGAAAUGCGUAGAGAUGUGGAGGAACACCAGUGGCGAAGGCGACUUUCUGGUCUGUAACUGACACUGAGGCGCGAAAGCGUGGGGAGCGAACAGG
rnacentral:rRNA from 1 species